GCAGGAGGUUUUGGCCAAUCCGCUCCGCGCUUCCAGAGCCAAUCCGCCUCGUCCCACUCCCGCAUCUCAGCCGUCAUACAAACCCUAGCCCCGUUUUUCCUCGAUCCCCAGUCCCCACACGCUCCUGCCUCCUCCAUCCCUCCUCCUCGCGUCACCACGGCCUCCGCCCUGCAGCCUCGCCGCCUCCUGCUAUUCCGCCUCCACCACGCUAGCCCCUCUACCUCGCCUUCCUUCUCUUCGUUGUCAAUGCGGCCUUCAUCGACCCCUGGUUCCAGAUCGGGCGCAGGUUAGGCGAGCCCGGUGGUGGGGUGAAGGGGCAGGGGAGGCGGGCGACGAGGGCAGGUAACUGUCGGCCCGUCGCGAUGUGCUGAGGCUACAGGGAAGAGGGAGGAGGUGGGCGACAGGGUGAAGGAGCAGGCCGGCCCUCCUGGAAGCACCGCUGCCGCUCAGCCAGGAAGGAGGCCAGGCUCGCCUCUGCUGUGCCAUGAGCGGCGGCGCCGCCUAUGCCUCCACCCCCACCUUCUUUUCCAUGCCUCUUCCUCCGCAUAGGCAGAUUUUGGGGAGACGCCAAGAAUAAUAAUUCAAGUGGAUGGCCGAUGCACCUUGUUGUUUAGCGGUAUGAUGAUCGGCGAAAGUAUGUUCUAUAUUGCAAGGUGAUGGGCUGCUGAUUUUUGUUGUCCACUUCUGCUGAUUUUUACCGACUUUCGCUUAAUUUGAUAUCUGCUGUAUAAGUAAUGCACUAAUAUACAGUACAUGAAAAAAUGAUCCCGUCUUGCAUGUCAAAAGUAUGGUUUUGGUACAGAUUUGUUGUGUAUGCAUGGUAGAACUUUCUAGGUUUUACUUUCUUAUUCUUCAACCAUAAUUCGGUUCAUGACACCAAGGUGCAGCUGUACCAAAGUGCAGACAUUAAAAUAGUUUAGAACAGAACAAUUAGAUGCUUUUAGUUCUGACUGCAUGGAUGCUUUGGUCAAUGUUUAGAAAUUCAUUGUCCAUAUAAUUAUGUUAACGUAUUUUCUAGAGGGAUCAGAAUGGUCUCCGAGUCGUUCAAAAUUGAAGGCAGCACCAAGGUAUCACAUUUGCUACUUUGUAAAAUCAUGCAUAUGCAGGAUCUCAUCAGUCUGGCGACCUAAAUUGCUCCCCAACUUAUCUCUUUUUGUUCAGUCCAGAAUUUCAGGUUUCCUGUGGUUUCUGUUGCCAAGGUUUGAUCUUUAUUUUCGUGUUGUGCAGAUGAUUGCAGCUGAUGCCGAGCCUCUCGGGAGAGCCUCUUCCAAUUUCCCCUCCUCACCAAGGACGAGGGCAUGAGGUAGUAACUGUAGCAUGCAGAAUUACCUACAGCUUGAGUAUAUACACAUUAUCCACUUCAUAUUUUAUUCCAAUGGUUUUACUUCCACAUCACAUGUUUAUUUAUAUUAAAUCACAAGAACUUCAUGAGCUUGCUUGGUUACCGUGGAGAAGGGCAUUCUUUCAUGGAGCUGUAGAUUUUUUGAAUAUGCUCCCUGUUGGACACUUUUUUGGGUAUGUCCAAGAUUUGUUGAGAAUGGGUGUGAAAAAAUUGACCAUCUGGUGGACUUAUACGCACGGUAUGUUUAGUUUCAAGAUAACUAAUGGAACUGCUUUAUUCCUUGCUGUACAUUUUUAGAACAUUAUUCCUUUUUUGUGUACUGAUUGAAUGAUCUGCUUGCACCAUGCAGGUACUCAUACAUAGUGAAAGCAGAGGCCGAAAGGUUUCGAUUUAGAUGAUUUAAUGGUGCCUUGUCUAUCUUCUUACCUCCAGGUCAAAAUUAAGCACACGAUUUCUUGCUGAAGGACAUGCUCUUAUUCUCUGAGAUGGACAAUGAUGAGCGGUACAACCGAAAAUUCAGAGCUGGGCUUUAUACACUUCAGUGGGCAAAUUGGAAUGCAGGUACUAGCAUCACAACACUGGGGUGGAGACCUGAAGCGAAGCAGAGGGGCGGACCAAGGAAAUCAGAGUCACGCUAUUUCUAUAUAUCCUCAUUCUGCGCUCUUAUAUUUUUUACACAUUUACAAUCUUGUGUUCGAAUAAUUCUUGUGGCUUGACAAGACAGAGUGGAGGAUCAAGGAAUGAAGUCAGAAUAGUUUUCUAAUUAAAUAUAUCCAAAGGAUGAUAAUAGGUUGUGUCAAGAUGAGUGCACGAGAAGGAUAGUGAAAAAGAAAGGUGAGAAGGGUUCUGAGUAUUCUUUCGUCACUUUUCAGGACAUGAAUUUGUCCUUUAAUUCUUGUUAUUCGUAUUAAAGAAAGCGAAAAGUAAUAAUUAUGCAUAUUUUUUAAAUUUGUGUUCUACAGUUCAAUCAAUGAGACCAUAAUUUAGUGGUGAAACAUAUUAAAUACUCCCUCCGUCUCAUAAUGUAAGACGUUUUCUGACACCACUAGUAUCAGAAAACGUCUUACAUUAUGGGACAGAGAGAGUAGUUCAGAUGUUGCCCACACAUGAGCGCCCAUGGGGAAGCCCAGAUCCAUCAUGUCGCUUUGGGUGGAAAGCAGUUCAAUUCUCUAUUUUCCUGGAUAUAGAGUAUCAUGCUUCCAUAUAGUGCUCAUAGAUCUUGUAUGCGUAUCGCCAGUUUGAUUCACAAGGAUUUUAACUUGUUAGGGCACGAUUAUUCGAAGUUUAACAUGUUAUGUAUGCGGACGCACAACAAUAACAGAACGUUCAGAUAAGGUUUUGUCAUGCACAUGGCUACUAAUCACAAAAAGGGUUAGGAACAAGUUUACUAUUGUGAUUUUCAGCAACCGAAAUAGAAGCAGAGUUAACUAUGAUUUUAAGCUACACUUUAGACUUGUCCUGAUAACUAGAACUGCUAUGAUGUUGCUCUAUUAUAAGUGCCUUGCUUUCAUGAGUUGAAAUAACUCAUGGUUGUCUUUUCUUUUGUUUGCACUGUAAGCAAUGUGUGGUAGAAGCUGUAAAAAUGUAGGUCCAGUGUCCUGUAUAUUUUUUGAAUUCACAAUCGGCAGUGUCAAUGUGUCAUGUGUGAUGCAGCAUGAAUCAUAGUGAGCUUAUUUCUUUGCACACUUGGUGUAUCCUCUUAUCAUCUUCUGUACACGUCCUCGAAUGGAAAGAUCAGUAUGGUGGUGCUAUAUUGAAUCAAUUACGUAGGCUUGGAGCCUCCCUUGAUUGGACCAGUGAGAUAAACUUCUUAUUUUCUUUAGUUAAGAAAAAUAGUGAAAACAAUGUAUUGACUAUAGUUCCAACUCCUAAUGUCCACUUAAUGUCAACCUCAUGCGUCAGUGCUUUACAAUGAACGAGAAAAGGUCAAAAGCUGUAACUGAAGCUUUUGUCAGGUUGUAUAAAGAUGGUCUUAUUUAUAGGUUAGUAUCCUCGCCUUCCGUUGUUCAAGGUGUUAAGCAUUUGUGUUUUGCAUGUUAAGUAAUGCUAUGGUGUUUUACUUCUAGAUUUUUUUUUAUUUCUUAUGGAUGUUUCGAUCUUUUGCAGGGAUUGCAUGCUUCUAACUGCGAUUUUUGACAGAGGUUGGUUAAGACUUUUAUUCUCCACAAUAGACAGUUUAUUUAUUUGAAUAUGCUGUUUUAUUAGGUUGAUCAUCUGGGUCUUAAAGAAGAAACUAAAGCUAAAGGUUCCUGGUUACAGCACACCAGUGCAAUUCGUUGUCCUGAUACCCUUUGAGUAUCCUCUUGAAGGAGGAUUGGGUGAGAUUGUUGUUGCAACAAGAAUUGGAACUAUGCUGGGUGAUACAACAAUAUUUGUUCAUCCAGGGAAUAAAAGAUAUAAGCAUCUGCAUGGAAGAUAUGCAAUUCACCCCUUCAAUGGCAGAAAACUAAAAAUAAUCUGCGAUGCUGUGUUGGUGGAUCCCAGUUUCGGCACUAGGUCUGUCAAAGGUGUGAUAUAAUGCCAACUGGCUUAAUAUUCAUGCGUUCCUCUUGUUAUGACAUCGAGCUAAUGUGCCAUCUGUUACACUAUUUGUGCUCCCAGACUAAGCAUAACCUUGCGUACUUUGGAUAAACUACUUUCUAUGAUUCACUUGUGCUAUGUGUAUUUGCUUCCCUAUGUUAGAACUGAAAUUCAUUUGUUGUAGCGAAUAUGGUUGUAUCAACAUUACCCAUUCAACUUUAGACUUGGUUCAUCACAUAUAGACUAUUCUUUUCUCUGCUACUUGUAUGUCAAAAAACUAUCAUGUUUUUGAAGCAAGUUAUUAGUAAAGCUUCCCAUUUUCUUACUUGUAA